GAUGAAGAACGCAGUGAAAUGCGAUAAGUAAUGUGAAUUGCAGAAUUCAGUGAAUCAUCGAAUCUUUGAACGCACAUUGCGCCCUUUGGUAUUCCGAAGGGCAUGCCUGUUCGAGCGUCAUUUCACCACUCAAGCCUGGCUUGGUAUUGGGCGCCGCGGUCGAUCCGCGCGCCUCAAAGUCUCCGGCUGAGCUGUCCGUCUCUAAGCGUUGUGAUUUCAUUAAUCGCUUCGGAGUGCGGGCGGCCGCGGCCGUUAAAUCUUUCACAAGGUUGACCUCGGAUCAGGUAGGGAUACCCGCUGAACUUAAGCAUAUCAAUAAGCGGAGGA
rnacentral:misc_RNA from 1 species